GUCUGCGAGGGAAGGUGUGCAGUCACUUAUCUUAAACAUCAGAAGUUCUAGAAAAUGCUCUUGAGCAAUGUUGAUUUUUGUUUUGGUUUACUGCUGUUCCUGGAUGGACAAUGAACGAUAGAAACAACAACAUAGUAAGGUGGCAACUCAUUCGGCAUGAAUAUAUAUAAGUGAACAAGUAUUCUCAAAUCAAAUAAUAAGGUUUGUCGGAUGUGUGUACGUGGCUUCAACACAUGAGAUGUAACACCUAUUAGACAUAUUAACAUGUACUCAUAUCACAGGAGGGUGGGUGAGAUUUUGUCCAGGAAUUUCUGGCAUUGCAGCUGAAAGAUUGGCGAGCCGAAGGACUUCCUGUUCAGUAUUACUCCUGUUGAAGCCGAGGCGUAUAGCUGAAACACACGUAUCAUUUCAUCUCUUAUAUGCCUCAUCUUUGUAUAGAAAGUGUGUUGGUAACCCUUUGUUUUGUGUUUUGUUGAAACUUUACUAUGUCAUUUUCAAGUGAGAUUUUUAUUUGGUUUUA